GAUGAACGCUGGCGGCGUGCCUAAUACAUGCAAGUCGAGCGAAUGGAUUAAGAGCUUGCUCUUAUGAAGUUAGCGGCGGACGGGUGAGUAACACGUGGGUAACCUGCCCAUAAGACUGGGAUAACUCCGGGAAACCGGGGCUAAUACCGGAUAACAUUUUGAACCGCAUGGUUCGAAAUUGAAAGGCGGCUUCGGCUGUCACUUAUGGAUGGACCCGCGUCGCAUGAGCUAGUUGGUGAGGUAACGGCUCACCAAGGCAACGAUGCGUAGCCGACGUGAGAGGGUGAUCGGCCACACGGGGACUGAGACACUGCCCAGACUCCUACGGGAGGCAGCAGUAGGGAAUCUUCCGCAAUGGACGAAAGUCUGACGGAGCAACGCCGCGGGAGUGAUGAAGGCUUUCGGGUCGUAAAACUCUGUUGUUAGGGAAGAACAAGUGCUAGUUGAAUAAGCUGGCACCUUGACGGUACCUAACCAGAAAGCCACGGCUAACUACGUGCCAGCAGCCGCCGUAA
rnacentral:rRNA from 1 species